GUGGCUCAGUUGGUAGAGUGCUUGCCUCGCAUGCAUGAGGCUCUGGGUUCGAUUCCUCAGC
rnacentral:tRNA from 1 species